rnacentral:rRNA from 1 species
UACGUAGGGUGCGAGCGUUGUCCGGAAUUAUUGGGCGUAAAGAGCUCGUAGGCGGUGUGUCACGUCGAUCGUGAAAACUUACAGCUUAACUGUGAGCGUGCGGUCGAUACGGGCAUCACUGGAGUUCGGCAGGGGAGACUGGAAUUCCUGGUGUAGCGGUGAAAUGCGCAGAUAUCAGGAAGAACACCCGUGGCUAAGGCGGCUCUCUAGUACGGUACUGACGCUGAGACGCGAAAGCGUGGGGAGCGAACAGG